rnacentral:rRNA from 1 species
CCAGACAGCCAGGAUGUUGGCUUAGAAGCAGCCAUCAUUUAAAGAAAGCGUAAUAGCUCACUGGUCGAGUCGGCCUGCGCGGAAGAUGUAACGGGGCUAAACCAUGCACCGAAGCUGCGGCAGCGACGCUGAUGCGUUGUUGGGUAGGGGAGCGUUCUGUAAGCCUGUGAAGGUGUGUCGUGAGGCAUGCUGGAGGUAUCAGAAGUGCGAAUGCUGACAUAAGUAACGAUAAAGCGGGUGAAAAGCCCGCUCGCCGGAAGAC